UAGCUGGUCUGAGAGGAUGACCAGCCACACUGGAACUGAGACACGGUCCAGACUCCUACGGGAGGCAGCAGUGGGGAAUAUUGGACAAUGGGGGCAACCCUGAUCCAGCAAUGCCGCGUGUGUGAAGAAGGCCUGAGGGUUGUAAAGCACUUUCAGUGGGGAGGAGGGUUGAUUGGUUAAGAGCUGAUUWAWUGGACGUUACCCACAGAAGAAGCACCGGCUAACUCCGUGCCAGCAGCCGCGGUAAUACGGAGGGUGCGAGCGUUAAUCGGAAUAACUGGGCGUAAAGGGUGCGUAGGUGGUUAGUUAAGUUAUCUGUAAAAUCCCUGGGCUYAACCUGGGCAGGUCAGAUAAGACUGGUURACUCGAGUAUGG
rnacentral:rRNA from 1 species